UAAAGUGCCGUUUUCUCGUAAUUGAUAACGACUUUUUUUGCUGAAUUCAUAUUAUCGGCAGUAUUUCGCGAAGAUACAUGCAUAAUUGGAUUUUCGAUAAACAUAUUAAGGCCCAGAAAGUUUGCCUCCCGUAAUGCAGCCAUGAUGUAGAGUAAUGCUGCAAUCCACAUCAGAAUCUCUGUAAUUAGACGAAUCUUUGCCGUCACUGUUGUCAGCUGCAUUAAUCUGCAUUCUCCGAUCUGAGCUUUGGAGUGACUUAAGGAUCAAAGUCUCCAUCGUUGUUAUGUUGGAAGAAUUCCUGGUUAACGUAUCGUUCCCAUUUUCG